rnacentral:rRNA from 1 species
AGAAUCAACGCUGGCGGCGUGCCUAACACAUGCAAGUCGAACGAGAAAGUGGAGCAAUCCAUGAGUAAAGUGGCGCACGGGUGAGUAACACGUGACUAACCUACCUUUUAGUGGGGGAUAACCUAGGGAAACCUGGGCUAAUACCGCAUAAUACCUACGGGUCAAAGCAGCAAUGCGCUGAAAGAGGGGGUCGCGGUCGAUUAGUUAGUUGGCAGGGUAAUGGCCUACCAAGACUGUGAUCGAUAUCCGGCCUGAGAGGGCGCACGGACACACUGGAACUGAAACACGGUCCAGACUCCUACGGGAGGCAGCAGUGGGGAAUUUUGCGCAAUGGGGGAAACCCUGACGCAGCAACGCCGCGUGGAGGAUGAAGUCCCUUGGGACGUAAACUCCUUUCGAUCGGGACGAUAAUGACGGUACCGGAAGAAGAAGCCCGGCUAACUUCGUGCCGGCAGCCGC